GUUUGAUCAUGGCUCAGAUUGAACGCUGGCGGCAGGCCUAACACAUGCAAGUCGAACGGUAACAUUUCUAGCUUGCUAGAAGAUGACGAGUGGCGGACGGGUGAGUAAUGCUUGGGAACUUGCCUUUGCGAGGGGGAUAACAGUUGGAAACGACUGCUAAUACCGCAUAAUGUCUACGGACCAAAGGGGGGGAUUCUUCGGAACCUCUCGCUCAUAGAUUAGCCCAAGUGAGAUUAGCUAGUUGGUAAGGUAAUGGCUUACCAAGGCGACGAUCUCUAGCUGGUUUGAGAGGAUGAUCAGCCACACUGGGACUGAGACACGGCCCAGACUCCUACGGGAGGCAGCAGUGGGGAAUAUUGCACAAUGGGGGAAACCCUGAUGCAGCCAUGCCGCGUGUGUGAAGAAGGCCUUCGGGUUGUAAAGCACUUUCAGCGAGGAGGAAAGGGUAGUAUUUAAUAAAUGCUAUCUGUGACGUUACUCGCAGAAGAAGCACCGGCUAACUUCGUGCCAGCAGCCGCGGUAAUACGAGGGGUGCAAGCGUUAAUCGGAAUUACUGGGC
rnacentral:rRNA from 1 species